CUACGGGGGGCUCCAGUGGGGUAUAUUGCACAAUGGAGGAAACUCUGAUGCAGCAACGCCGCGUGGAGGAUGACACUUUUCGGAGCGUAAACUCCUUUUAUAUAGGAAGAAGAUGACGGUACUAUAUGAAUAAGCGCCGGCUAACUCCGUGCCAGCAGCCGCGGUAAUACGGAGGGCGCAAGCGUUACUCGGAAUCACUGGGCGUAAAGAGCGUGUAGGCGGAUUAAAAAGUCAGAAGUGAAAUCCUAUAGCUUAACUAUAGAACUGCUUCUGAAACUCUUAAUCUAGAAUAUGGGAGAGGUAGAUGGAAUUUCUGGUGUAGGGGUAAAUCCGUAGAGAUCAGAAGGAAUACCGAUUGCGAAGGCGAUCUACUAGAACAUUAUUGACGCUGAGACGCGAAAGCGUGGGGAGCAAACAGGAUUAGAUACCCCAGUAGUC
rnacentral:rRNA from 1 species